UAUGUGAUCGUCUCUCGCAUAUCAAUAAGCGGAGGAAAAGAAACUAACAAGGAUUCCCCUAGUAACGGCGAGUGAAGCGGGAAGAGCUCAAAUUUGAAAUCUUAAAGGGUUUCCCUUUACGAAUUGUAGUUUAAAGAAGUGUUUUCUGUUGAGGUUUUGGUAAAAGUUCUUUGGAAUAGGACAUCAUAGAGGGUGAGAAUCCCGUAUUUGACCUUUACUUUCAACUUUGUGAUACACUUUCAAAGAGUCGGACUGUUUGGGAAUGCAGUCCAAAAUGGGUGGUAAAUUUCAUCUAAAGCUAAAUAUUGGCGAGAGACCGAUAGCGAACAAGUACCGUGAGGGAAAGAUGAAAAGAACUUUGAAAAGAGAGUUAAACAGUACGUGAAAUUGUCAAAAGGGAAGCGUUUGACACCAGUGUUGUUUUUCUGAAAAUCAAUUAAAGAACUGUUUAUGCUAAGCUGUUUAGACUUUAUCAGCUAACUGUUUAGUUUUGAGCUUUUCUUUAAUGCACUUUUCAGUUAACAAGUCAACAUCAAUUUCUUUUGCUGUAAAAAAGCUUGAGGAAGGUGGCUUGAGAUUCGUCUUAAGUGUUUAUAGCCUCUUGCCUAUGCAGUCGGAGAGAUUGAGGUCUGCAGCGUAGAUCCUUCGGGGCUAAAUGCAUUUGUGCUAAGUUAUAGCAUUUUAUAGACAACUUGUUGACUAUGAUUUGUCUUGUAGCUUACUCGCUUAUGUUAUUUUACCUACGCUUAGGAUGUUGAGUAGCGACAUACGCAC
rnacentral:rRNA from 1 species